AAGAAACUGCGAAUUGCAGCUUGUUUAAACAGUUUGCUAUUGGUCGUGUAUCAGUGCCUAAUCCCAACACUGUUUAGUGAAGAGUCCACUCUCUAAAGGCAACUCAACAUAACGCCGUGGGAAAAAGUUGCUUGGAGACUGAAUAAACUUCUCCGCCCUCUACCUGCUGACCACCGCCCACACUCCUGUAGAGUGCAGCGGCAUCCAGAAGCAAAGCUUGCAUAUUCUUGCCAAAUGACUUCCUAACUUCGCUUGAAAGCGCUUAGUUUUUCAGCUCGCAAAAACUCUUCAGGGACAACGGUUAAGAAGUACGUGGAACUCAAAAUUGAGGGGGCAGAUUCUGGAGCGGAGGAUGAAAUUCACACGUUCCAGGAAUCAGUAUCAUUGUGCAACAUCCGGGCAGCAGUUCUGGUCACCACGUGGAUUUGUAAACACAGAAAACAGGCAGCAGCCAGUGUGCAAGUCACCAAAAGUCUCACUGAGAACCCACAUGGCAUCGAAUGUUUUCAGUGCCUUUAACAAGACAAGCUCCUGAAUUAAAGACUAUUUUGUG
rnacentral:lncRNA from 1 species